rnacentral:rRNA from 1 species
CAGUCGCCGCGGGAAUACGAAGGUCCCAAGCGUUGUUCGGAAUCACUGGGCGUAAAGGGAGCGUAGGCGGCGUGGUAAGUCAGAUGUGAAAUCCCGGGGCUCAACCCCGGAACUGCAUCCGAUACUGCCAUGCUUGAGGGUUGGAGAGGUAGCUGGAAUUCUUGGUGUAGCAGUGAAAUGCGUGGAUAUCAAGAGGAACACUCGUGGCGAAGGCGAGCUACUGGACAACAUCUGACGCUGAGGCUCAAAGGCCAGGGUAGCGAAAGGGAUUAGAUACCCCGGUAGUCCCUGUCUCUUAUAC